GUCCCUUCGGGAACAUCUAAAAAAUUGGAACAAUACAGAAAAGAUUAACAUGGCCUCUGCGCAAGAAUAACACGCAUAAAUUGAGAAAUAGUCCAAUCAUGC